GCCUGACGUCACGGUGACGUCAAAGCCGCUCCCGGCUGUCAGCUGGAGUCGGGCGCGCUGACGAGGCAGCCGGUCUUAAAGGGGUCUCCGCGGCAUCAGGGUGGACCCCACCGGCAGGAAGGUGCUGUCCCACCGCCCCGCUCCUGGCUAACCAGCACCAGUUCUUCAGUGGCAAGCUUUAUGUCCUUCUCUAGUAGCUAAAGCUGCCAGUUGAAGAACUGUUGAAUGUAGCCACUCUCUUCUCAUCACCGGGACCUUGGAUGUUGGCCAGACCUGCGCCCUGAGCAACCGGGAUGAGCCAUUCCGCAGCGUCCUGUGCGUUUGAAGGCUGAGGAUGAGUCUAACCGGGAUGAAGGCGUCUCCUCGCAGCCUCCAGACAGAGCCUUGGCUGGAGGAUUGCCAGCGGGGUGGCACUGAGCUGAGGGACACCUAGAGAAGACCAAAAGAGGCAUUAAACUUUAUGUUCUCCUCAACA